AACUAGCUAUCACCCGCCCGGCAUUGCCCAUGCCAAUUUUUUAAUUAUUUUGACUAUUAUUCCCAUCUUACCAAGUAUAUUGGACGAGGAAAAACCCCAUUCACGGAAAUUACAAUUUUAUUUCUUUUUAAUUUUACUAUUGGCAUGAUUACUGAUAAUUAGGUAAAAAUAAUUAAAAAUUUGGCACGGGCAACGCCGGGUGGGUGACAGCUGGUU